ACUUCUAUUCUUGCCACAUAACUUUUCGCAGCACUUGUGGUUGCCGAUUCGGCCGCCACAAACUUGAGACCCGCCACACUUCUCUAGGGCGCCAGCGCCGGCCCUAGCACCUCCACUGCAACUCCCUUGAUACUUGGACCACCGGAUCUGAUGCUGGCUGUCGACUGCCAUUAGAAGGACUUGUUGCAAGCUGAGGGCACCAGGAGACCCUUGUUUGCUACUGCUCAAGUUCACAGGAUGCGUUGAGGAUUGGACCAAGGAAAUGAGGAUGCAACACCUCAAAAGAAGUCAUAAAAAGAUGCAUAGAAGUCCAAGACUCAAGAACAAAAGAAGCCCAAAGAAAUCAGCGAAGAAACCUGAGAAGAGGGCUGUCAGCCAGCGACUGGUGACGCACCGGACAGUGCAUAGUACCUGUCCGGUGUGCACCGGACUGUCCGGUGGGACAACCGGACAGUCUGCGCAGAGAGGCCGAAGUCAGGCGCUCUCGGGCUGUAGCACCGGACUGUCCGGUGUGCGGCAACGGUCAGAUCCAACGGUGGACUGCUACAGCUGCCAACGGUCGGCUGACGUGGCGUGCACCGGACACUCCACAGUAGCUGUCCGGUGGUGCACCGGACUGUCCGGUGCACCCGACGACAGAAAGUUGCUGCUUUCUGUCCAACGGCUAGUUUGGGGUGUGGAGGCUAAUACCACCCCAACCGGCCAUUCUCUAGUGUGGGAGCCCAAGCAACAUACCAAGACACAUAGUGCAUAUUUCCAAGAGUUCAAACACCCAAGUGCUUAAUAGAAUCACUCGGUGAUUAGUGUAGGUGCUUUUGCGAAGUGCUUAGGCUAGUUAGACCGCUCUAGCGCUUGCUAUAGGUGAACCCUAGAUUGUUGAGUGAGUUUAGACAAACCUCACAACCCCUCGGCUCUUGCGUGAGCCGUAGUAAUUGUACCGAGUGGGGCGAGAGUCUUGCGAGACCGUGACAACCGCGUUUGUGUCACGGCCGCCACCGUGUACCGGAGGGAACGAGGCCCGCGGCGUUUCGGCCGGAAGCUCGUUAGUGGAGACGGCGGGGAGCGUCCGAGAGGAGCCGAAAGCGGAGCACCACUUGCGCGUGGAGAAGGCCCGUGUCUCUCUACGGAGUUACUCGACCGAGGUGCUUGGCCCUCGCGUGGGCUUCCCUUUGCGUAGGGGCACCAACGAGGAUUAGUCAGGACCUUGCGCAGUUCCGGAUACCUCGGUAAAAAUACAGGUGUCAUCCACGAGAGUUUGCUUCUC